rnacentral:rRNA from 1 species
AUUGAACGCUGGCGGCAUGCCUUACACAUGCAAGUCGAACGGUAACGGGUCCUUCGGGAUGCCGACGAGUGGCGAACGGGUGAGUAAUAUAUCGGAACGUGCCCAGUAGUGGGGGAUAACUGCUCGAAAGAGCAGCUAAUACCGCAUACGACCUGAGGGUGAAAGGGGGGGAUCGCAAGACCUUGUGCUACUAGAGCGGCCGAUGGCAGAUUAGGUAGUUGGUGGGAUAAAAGCUUACCAAGCCGAGGAUCUGUAGCUGGUCUGAGAGGACGAUCAGCCACACUGGGACUGAGAAACGGCCCAGACUCUGACGGGAGGCAGCAGUGGGGAAUUUUGGACAAUAGGCGCAAGCCUGAUCCAGCAAUGCCGCGUGCAGGAUGAAGGCCUUCGGGUUGUAAACUGCUUUUGUACGGAACGAAAAGCCCCGGGUUAAUACCCUGGGGUCAUGACGGUACCGUAAGAAUAAGCACCGGCUAACUACGUGCCAGCCGCCGCAGUAA